rnacentral:lncRNA from 1 species
GCCCCCCGUCCGGCGCCGGCGCCGCCUCCGCCUCCUCCUCCGCGUCCGCCUCGCGCCAGGCCCCUCCUCCCAGGUCACCCAUGCACCCCCGCGCCAGGCGCCCCCCACACACGAGGCGGCCACCACUGCACGCGAGCGCGCGCGCGCGCCAAGGGGGGAAGGGGAGGCCGGGAAGCGGAGAGGAGAAGCCGAGAAGGCGAGAGGUGGGGUGGGGGGGAGGCGCGUCUUAUAGCGGGGAGGCGAGGAAAGCUCGAGUCCCUCGCGGAGGCGGAG